UACAGAGGUCCCAAGCGUUACUGAGAAUCACUGGGUUUAAAGGGUGCGUAGGUGGUCCGUUAAGUCAGUUGUGAAAUCCCCGGGCUCAACCCGGGAACUGCUUCUGAUACUGGCGGACUUGAGGCCAGUAGAGGUCACUGGAACUGACGGUGGAGCGGUGAAAUGCGUAGAUAUCGUCAGGAACGCCGGUGGUGAAGACGGGUGACUGGGGCUGGUUCUGACACUGAGGCACGAAAGCGUGGGGAUCAAACAG
rnacentral:rRNA from 1 species